rnacentral:rRNA from 1 species
UACGGAGGGGGCUAGCGUUGUUCGGAAUUACUGGGCGUAAAGCGCACGUAGGCGGCUUUGCAAGUUAGAGGUGAAAGCCCGGGGCUCAACUCCGGAAUUGCCUUUAAAACUGCAUCGCUAGAAUUGUGGAGAGGUAAGUGGAAUUCCGAGUGUAGAGGUGAAAUUCGUAGAUAUUCGGAAGAACACCAGUGGCGAAGGCGACUCACUGGCCGGUACUGACGCUGAGGUGCGAAAGCGUGGGGAGCAAACAGG